UAGCCGUAAACGAUACUCGCUAGGUGUCGGCCACGGUGCGACCGUUGUCGGUGCCGUAGGGAAGCCGCGAAGCGAGCCACCUGGGAAGUACGGCCGCAAGGCUGAAACUUAAAGGAAUUGGCGGGGGAGCACCACAACGGGUGGAGCUUGCGGUUUAAUUGGAUUCAACGCCGGAAAUCUUACCGGGACCGACAGCAACAUGAAGGCCAAGCUGAAGACUUUGCCGGAUUAGCUGAGAGGAGGUGCAUGGCGUAGUCGUGU
rnacentral:rRNA from 1 species